GAGAUAGCUCAGUCAGUAGAGCACGAGACUCUUAAUCUCAGAGUCGUGGGUUCGAGCCCCAUGUUGGGCA